GGGAGUGUGGCUUAGAGAAGUGAACCCAGAACAAGAAGCUUAAGUCACUCAGGCUUGUUGGCAUUUCUUGCUACUACUCAGAGCCCACGAGAAGUCUUCUGAACCUCCGAAGGCAGCUUUGGACCCUAGGCAAUCACAGGAAUUAAAGCCAGAUGUUCAAAGCCAGUAACCAUGUUCACCUUGUCCGUGCAGCUAUUCUGUGUGCAUAGCAUGGUACCUACAACACAGCAGGUUCAAGGUAGAGAUGUGUUCGGUGGAUAAAUGUAUAAUGGACAGAAAUGGGAACAAUGCCAAACAAGGAAGCUGGCUGACAGAACUAAGCCAUCGCCUAAGCCACAUGGGCAGAACCCGGAGGGAAGUGCACAGUGACUUUCCAUUUCAUGACCUGGAACCUGGAGGGAAGGGGGGAGAGGAGGAAAGGGGUGAUGGGAAGGAGGGCCUGCCAGUGGGGCAGUACUGCUAGUCACAGCAAAGCCAGGACCAAUCUCAAAGCCUCUGUCCAGAGUGUCCACUCGUCUUACAUGCUGGACAGCUUGAGCCCCUCAGACUAAGGCUCUAAUUAGCUCAGAAGUGAGGCUCUUUUAUGUGCAGAGAAUUUAUGAAAAUGGCUAAUAGACUUAAGAAAAUGUGAUUUUUUUUUUAUUUUUUUGUUUUUAGCUUUGAAGAAGUAUAUGAGUCAAUGUUUCAAUAAUAUUGUUUUUGUCAUGGACGGGAAGAACUCAUCACUUUGCUUAUGAGAGCCAGCUGUUCCUUAAGACUCUGGUGAUUGAAAAACAAGAAAGUAGUGACUUUUAGAUUAAAAACAAAACAAAAAAAAAAAAGGUCAGGUUGAAGAAAGCACAUCCUGACAGUAGGACUCUAAAGAAGAUCCUCUCUUUGAAUAUUGUUUCAUUACUAAUUGUCUCAGAAAUAAUAUGAUUUUGGUUCACCUAAGAUUUGCUUUUGUUGGUACUAGGGAUGGACCCCAGAGCCUCACACAUGCUAGGCAAGCAUUCUUCUGAUACAAUAAUUCCCAACCCUGUACUGUAGAGUUCCACCAGAGCAAUCAAAUUCUAGAAGGUCUUAGCAGAUACACUAACACUCCAAGAGCCAGGGAUAAUAGACGACACACACCUGUGAUCCCAGAUCCAGGAAACUGAGGCUCCUAGGUGGCCCAAAGAGUGGGUUCCAGCCCAGAAAAAUCUGUCUUAAAAUAAUAAUAUAUUUUUAAAAUUUUCCUCAGAAACCAGAGUGAUAGACAAAUGGCUAGUGAUGUACUGCAAGCAGGACCUAAGGACUUCACUAGGAUACCAGCAGAAGCAGGGGAGGAGGCAAACAAACACUGAGAAACCAAACCAACCUCAGCAGCAAUUCUACCAAUUAGGACAUGAAGAAAACAGAUUCCAGAACGUCGGCUCUUGGAACAGGAAAAAAGCCAUUGGGAUCCAAUCAAGUGUAGAAGCAGACCUAACACAGACAGGGAGAAGCAUGGAACCCAACAGGGGUUUGAAAGAAACAAAGGCUCCAUUCCUGCCUACUGGAAACCAAGCCAAAGAGUGACUCACCCUGCCAGUUACUAACCAACUUGCAUAAAAUGACCUGAGUCCUAAAAGUUCCUGGAUUUCUAUGUAUUUUUAUUUGAGGUGUUUUAUGUUUAUGGUUUGGUCCUGUUUGGGUUUUUGUUUUUCUUAAUGCACUGUUUUAUUUUCAAGGCUUUCAAUUCUUCCUUCCUUCUUUAUUCCUUUCUCCCUCCUUACCCCUCCUUCCCUCCAUUUCUUUCUGUCUCUCCCUUCCUUCCUUCCUUCCUUCCUUCCUUCCUUCCUUCCUUCCUUCCUUCCUUCCUUCCUUCCUGUCUCCUUUCCUCUCUUCCUCCCUUUCUUCUUUCCUUCCUUCUUUUUGGAAAAGGGUGGUGGGGUGGGGGAGAAACAAAACGAGAAGACACAUACACUCAACAAUCAGCUCUGCAGCUGCCUUCACACCUAUCAUCUAAGCACAGCUACAGAGACAUCACACAACCAGGUAGUGGUUAUAUCUUAGAAUUCCACUCCUCAUGGAAGUGACUCGGCUUCCUUCACAACCUCCAGCAUCUUACCCACCCACACUCUCUUAGCUUGAGACUCUCUGCAUGUGACAGUCCCUCACUAAAGAGGCCACCUUCCUUCUCCUGGAUAGACCUGGUGGACAUGGCUCAGAAUCAGAAGAUCCUUAGCUCCACAAGGACUUUGCUCUGAUGACAAAGACUUUCCUAAUUCAUCAUGUUCGCUCAGAUUAUCUGAUUGGAAAAUAUGCUGCAGUCUCCAUCAGUCCCUGAUCCUUCUAGAAAGGAUCCUUUGCUUGCUGUACCCAUAUCUGCACUGUCCGCUGGCUUCAGGCAUUUCCAUCCCACUUCACCUUCUCCUCUAGUCUGUCUCCAUCACUGCACUGAGACGGACCUGGUGAAGAUCAGGAACAAGCUCUACCUUCUCUAACACAGAGGUCAAUCUCCAUCCGCAUCCUACUCAAACUUUGUUACCCUUCCUGUGUUCCCAUAUUGCCCUAAACCCCUGGCUUCUCAUCUGUGGUUGCUUCUUUGUAGGUUCCUUUACAAAUGCUGUUCUCUGCGGGGAGCCAGAGUGAACCAUGCUGUCCUCGCUCUGUUCACUGCCUGCACACUGCCUCUCAUCCCUCACACUUUAAAUUGACCAUUUCAUCAUCUGUCAUUAACAAGAGAGAGGCAUCACUACAGACAACGCAAGUGAGAAAGGAAGUUAUGUUUAAAUAUCGCAAACUUUUACAUAUGUCAAUUUUAAAUCCCUGGUUGUUGCUAGCUCAGAAAAUAAAUACUAAGCAACAGAGUAUAAUGACUGUUUAAUAGUUUUAAAUUAAACCUUUUUAUUUUGAUAUUUAGGUUUUUUUUUUGUUUGUUUUAGUGCUAGAGCCUUGCACAAGUUCAGCAAAUACACAAACAUUGAACUAUAUCCCAGCCCUAUUGUUUUACUACUCACUUUGAGUCAUGACAUCACUAAGCUGACCAGGCUAGCCUUCAACUCAUUCUGUGUCCUAGGUAAGCCUUGAACUUGUGAUCUACCUGUCUGGGAUUACAGACUUGAAACUAUACCCUGGGUCUCAAGAAACAUUUUUUUAAAUUGUAAUUUUUGCUAUAACAAAUCUUCCUAAAAUGUGUUUGUUACAACUUCUAAGAAUCAAGACUCUACCAAUAUUUAGAAGAUGUUAUUUGGACAUGAACACUGAAGUAAAAUGCUGUUCCAUGAACUAUAAAAAUGUCAAGUUUUUGUUCUUUAAUAUGUGGCCAUGAACUCAGCUAAUUUUAAAAUUAUCUUUCUCUUCUUUAUAACAGUUGAGUGAAAAGAAGGUAGAAACCUAUUUGAGGUUAUGGUAGACACAGUAAGUCACUAAUGGUAAUUAAUAUAUCAUAUUAUAAAUGAAAGACUAUAUAGAAUGACCUAUGAUACAGAAUGUCUAUAUCAUUAUAAGGUAUACAAGUUGUUUUUUUUAUAAAUUCCAACAUAAUUGCUCUAAAUUCUAAAUUACUUCUCUGGGUGUUUUCAUAAUAUUGCAUAAAACACAGGCAAAGAAACUACAAACUCAAUUGACUUUUUGUUGUAUAAAUAAAUAUCAGAACCCAAAA